rnacentral:misc_RNA from 1 species
UGUAAGCUGUUUACAAAUAGUCUGAAACAGCCCAAGAAAGUUACAUGCUAAAAAUACCAGGAAGCAGUUGUGUUCAAGGAUAAAUAAUCUAAACAUUAUUUUUAUGUUUAGUUGUCCAAAGUCCAGUAUGGAAAGUGAGUAAGAACUCGGCUGAGUCACUUCCAUAGAUACCAUGGGUAAAAAAAUACAUGUCGUAUUGUAUAAUGAAUACACUGUAAUUGCUUUCUUCAAUUUGGAUAUUUUGUAAGAAACGUUCAAGCUCAUUAUGGAAAAAAUAUUAUUACUAUUUGUCAUCGGAAUUUUUACCUGCAUGGGCACAAGAGUUCAAAUUGACGAUAACAGCAGUCCCUUUUGGAUAUACUGGAAGCCGUUUCGUUACUCACUGGACAUCGUUAUGGAUAUUCAACAUAAGUCCUUCGAAGGAAAAGUUAAAAUUGCCGGGGUCAUUUUAAAAGAUACGGACAAACUGGGACUUCACUGUCGAGUGAAUAUUUCAGAAGGAUUUUAUACGUUAAAAGGAAAUAACAAAUUCAUAAAUCUCAGUUUGGCAUCGAAAAAUGUCAAUUCCGAUUCUAUUUUUCUCAAUUUGGAUCAAACUCUGAGAAAAGAUGUUGAAUUUAUGCUCACAUUAAGAUACAAUGGUUUGAUGCAAAAUUUAACAGGAUUGUACAUGUCUUUUUAUCGAUUCAAUAAUGAAAAAAGAACAGUAAUUAGUACUGAAUUUCAACCAAUGGGAGCCCGAUGGGUAUUUCCUUGCAUAGAUAUUCCCAGUUAUAAAGCAGUGUUUGAGUUGAAAGUAGGCAGACCACAGACAAUGAAUGCUCUCUCAAACAUGCCAAUUAAAAGUACAUCACCUCCAGAUUCAGGAAUCAAUGGUCAAGUAUGGGAUGUAUUCCAUCCAAGUCCUAAGAUGUCAACCUAUGUUCUGACCUUUUUAAUAUAUGACACCUUGACAAAUCUAACCCUUCAAAAUAACAACACAAUUUGGUACCCAAAUGAGAUUAAAAGACACAUACAAUUAACAUCUGAAAUUAUGGUUAUGCUGAGAGACCAAAUGGAAAAGUACACUGGGAUAAAGUAUGUCCUUCCAAAAUUGGAUUUGGCAGUCGUACCGGAGAAAGCACCUAUCGCUAUGGAAAGCUGGGGUCUCAUAACAUGGAGAUAUAGUCAUAUAUCUGCGGAAGAAAGGAAGAUAUUUGUUAGAGAGGAGUUGGAGUUUGUUGUCUAUAUGGCACAUGAAAUUGCACAUCAAUGGUUCGGCAACCUCGUAACAUGCAGAUAUUGGUGUUAUUUAUGGCUCAACGAAGGCAUAACAUCUUAUAUAAUGAAUCAGAUUGUAGAUCAAGUAUUACCAAAUUCAAAUGCUAUGGAUAUAUUUACAUUAGACAUAAUUGAUUAUACUAUGAAUCAAGAUACAUAUGUUCCUUUUUCUUUGGUGGAACAAGACUAUUGUGAGAGACAAACAAUGCGUUUGCCAAUGUCAUUGAAUAUCUAUCUCAAAGGAGCUGCGAUUUUACACAUGGUCAGAAAAAUUAUCAUGACAGAUGACAUGUUUAAAGAAGGCUUGCAGAAAUUCUUGAUGGACAACCAGUUUGAUUCUGUGACAGAAAAAGAACUUUGGGAAGCGAUGCAAGCAAAAAUGAAUGAAACUGAAAUCCCUGAAGGAGAAUCUCUGGAGACCUUGAUGUAUGCGUGGACUCACAACCGAGGCUUUCCAUUGCUCAAUGUUUAUCGACAUACAGACAAUGGUAGCAUUGCGAUUAAACAGGAGGCAUUUUAUUUAUUCGAGAAGGAUGCUUCAUACAAAAGCUAUUUAUGGAUUCCUUUAACUUACACAACAUCAAAAGAAAAAAAUUUUGAAAAUGUUCAUCUCAAAGAGUGGCUAAGGCCAACCAGCGAUUUACAACCACUUGCAGUAACCAUAACAGAAGAUGAUUGGAUAAUACUCAAUCUUCAGAAUGCAGGCUAUUACAAAAUCAAUUAUGACCAAAGGACUUGGCAGCUUAUAACUGCACAUUUAAUGAGUGACAGGAUGGAAGAAAUUCAUCCAUUGAACAGAGGGCAGAUAAUAAAUGAUGCUUUUCAGCUGGCCAAAGCUGGCUUAUUGAAUUACUCAGUUGUUUUAAAUCUCUCAAGGUAUCUGAAAAACGAAUUGCAUUACUACCCACUCUAUCUUGGCAUAAUGUCAAUCCAGUCAUUAUUUCCUUUUGUAAAAACUGCGGGGAAUUACUACAAGAACUACAUGAAGUAUCUAGUGAGCAACAUUUACAAACAUGUUACAUCUGACGAAUUCAACGUGACAGAUGUGGUCAGCCAUUCGCUUAAAAUUAUGAUUAUCGAAUUGGGAUGUACACUCGAUUUUCAACAUUGCAAGAACCAAGUCAUGCAAAUUGUGGAUUCUGUAAUUAAUAAGGAUCUCAAUGAAAAUCAAUUAAAUCUUGAAUUAAUGGAGAGCUUUUGGUGUACUGCUGCCAAAACAGGCACCGAAAAAGUGUUUAACUACAUUAAACAUAAAUAUAUUGAAGAAAAACAAACAGUGCUGAAACAGAUAUACUUAAAUUCUCUUUUCUGUGUCAGAAGUAGAAACAUAUUUAACAGCUUGCUAAAUGACAUUUUCCACAAAGUGAAGUACAUCAAAGAUAUUGAUCCAAAGUUUAUAAUGACUCGUAUUAUAUCUCCCUAUACAGCGUGUUAUCUUAUAGACUAUUUCUUUGAAAACUUUGAAAUUAUUGUUUCCAAUUUAAACCUUAAUAUUUCAGCUAUGGGAACAACAAAGUUAUAGAGUAUUUAAAUGAAAUUUUUAUAACAACAGACAAAGAAGAGUGCAAGAACAAAUUAAAAGAUUUGGUUGGUAAACGGUCCAUUCCUAUUCAACUGAACAACAAAAGUGACUGGGUCAAUAGAUUUAGAGAUGUUAUAUUCUGGUUUGAGAAACAAAACUUUGAUAUUGAGAGUGGGCCUGAAGAGGAAAAAAAUUGUGGAAACAGUAAAAAUGUUUUUAUCGAAAAGAAUAUUAACUUUUUCAAAGUUACAAAUGAAUAGUAUUUAUAUUAAACUAUUCUUUCAUUGUACAUUUCGAUUAAAUGUAACUAUUAAUGGAGUUGUUCAGUCUCUCUUUUGUUACAACAAUUAUGUAUCACAAUAAAACUAUGAAGUAAU